GACGAACGCUGGCGGCGUGCUUAACACAUGCAAGUCGAACGCUGAAGCUCAGCUUUUGUUGGGUGGAUGAGUGGCGAACGGGUGAGUAACACGUGAGUAACCUGCCCCCUUCUUUGGGAUAACGCCCGGAAACGGGUGCUAAUACUGGAUAUUCACUGGCCUUCGCAUGGGGGCUGGUGGAAAGGGUUUUUCUGGUGGGGGAUGGGCUCGCGGCCUAUCAGCUUGUUGGUGGGGUGAUGGCCUACCAAGGCUUUGACGGGUUGCCGGCCUGAGAGGGUGACCGGUGACACUGGGACAGGGUUCAGGCCCCGACUGGUGCGGGAAGCGGCAGAGGGUAAAAUAGGGCCAUAAGCGCAAGCCUGACGCACCGCCGGCGCGUGGGGGAUUGUGGCCUUGGGGUGGUGGAGCUCUUUCACUCAUGGUCAGGCCGCUACAAUGGUUUUGGUGAGGGUAGUAGGUAAAGAAGCGCCGGCUAACUACGGG
rnacentral:rRNA from 1 species